rnacentral:lncRNA from 1 species
GUUCUAAAGCAGGCUCCCCCCUUAAGAGAAAACUGUGCACGUCGAAUGAAGCGUGAAUCGUGGAAAAUAUCGCACCUAAUAUCAUCGUUUAGGUUAUCCGUUACGUCUGGUUGGCGAAACUCGUUCCGACCACCAGUGCAGUGUCGAUUUCGUCAAAAACAGGCGCGCCAUUUGUGUUCUAGUAAGAAAUAUCGCGCAUCCAGUGAGCGCGGGUUCGUAAGUUUCUUGAUUUUCCUGAAUUAAAUAAAUCGAAUCGUGGUGUAGAAUAUAAACGCCGUUAUCGGACAUUGAACAAAGUUACAGAAAUAUCGAGGACAGUAUUGUGAAUAUCAAAUAAUAUCCCAUCGAGUUAGUCAGUCAGCGUUGUUACAGUUAACCUUAAUAUUUCUUUCUCAAUUCUUAACAGUCCUUCCGAGCAUUGUAUAACAACGACCUUUCCUUCGUCUUAUUUUCAGUGAAAUGUGCGUGUCGGUCUCACUAGUCUUAACGUCAUGAAUAACGAAUAUCGAGAGCGUCAAAUUGCGAAUAUUGAAAGUGCCGUUUGUCGAAAUCGAGAAUUCAAUGAACAUCAUGAGUGCAUUUGGAAUAUCGGGAGUGCCGCACAAUGAUCGUACUGCAUUAGUUAAUUCGCGAUUGCUAUUAUGUUUUGAUUAAUCGUAUCUAUGUGAGCGUCAGGGUAUAUCGGUGAAAUAAAAGUGAUGUGACGAAAAAAAUUCGAUUAAUCGAGAGGCGUUGGCGUGGAUGCAGCGGUCGGAACAGCAACGGCGGCAUAAUGGAGCACUUCGCGACAACAUGGUCGGCGACGCAAUGGCUGGUGAGUGAAUUCAUUCAGUUUCUAAUUAUGCGAUGAUCUAAUAGUACUUAAAAUUCUAAUCGUGUUUCGUUGUGAUCUUGGAAUCCAAAAUGAUAAAUAUUCAAUUCAUAAAAUUUUAAUAAUAAAUAAUAAAUAAAAAUAAAUAAAAUCUUUGAAAAAUAAGAAUUAAUCACUGAUUUAUCUUACGAUCUGAUUUUAUGAGAUUUUACCUCCUCUUUUCGAAAAUACAUUCGAAUUGUGAUACUUGCUUUAGAGGUGUUUCAAGAUCACAUCGAAUCAGCCAAUCAAUUGCAUAACGAUAUUAAUGACGAAUGCAUAAUGUCGAUUAUGCUGCAUUAUUUUUUCGUAAUGACACAUUGUCAGAAAUAAACGAAUUAGCGUCCGCGCGAUAUCUCUUUUCACACUUUCGAAGAUAUGUAGAUCUCGAAUAGUAAAUACCGAUAAUGAAGGGGCAGAACGUGUUGGGCGAGAUACCAUUACCUCGCGCUGCGGGUGCAUAAUUAUGUAAUCACGGAGCUGCUCCGGACGGAGUCUGAUUAAUAAGAAGACGAAAUCUUGUUUAUCACGAUACCGAUUGCCUUGCUCAUAUCUCGUCGUGUCCGACAGUACCUGCUACUUGAAAGCCGAGUCGCAAUUUUAAACGCGUAAUUGGGAUGCGUGAUGCAGUGUGCUUCAGAAUACGGAAUCUCGUUUUACAUUUAGAUUCUCACGGCCGCAAAAUAUUUCACAGCUAAUUGGCGACGCGCAAACAUCGUGAUCGUGUAUCGAAGUCACAUAAAUAAAACUUCUUAUAUUGUAAAGCAGGAUCGAAACGUUCACGAAAAUUAUAAUAUUAAUAUGUAAAAUAAAUGAUACAGAUAUCAUAUGAAUAAUCGCGUCUAUCAGAUUCCAUUUGUCCAAA